GAUGAACGCUGGCGGCGUGCUUAACACAUGCAAGUCGAACGGUGAAGGCGGAGCUUGCUCUGCUGGAUCAGUGGCGAACGGGUGAGUAACACGUGAGCAAUCUGCCCCUGACUCUGGGAUAAGCGCUGGAAACGGCGUCUAAUACUGGAUACGAGCUGCUAAGGCAUCUUCAGCAGCUGGAAAGAAUUUCGGUCAGGGAUGAGCUCGCGGCCUAUCGACUUGUUGGUGAGGUAAUGGUUCACCAAGGCGUCGACGGGUAGCCGGCCUGAGAGGGUGGCCAGGGACAAUGCUACUGAGGGACGGCCCAGACUCCUACGGGAGGCAGCAGUGGAGAAUAUUGCGCAAUGGGCGCACGCCUGUUGCAACAACGCCGGGUGCGUAACGACCGCCUUCGAGUUGUGAACCUCUUUUAGCAGGGAAGAAGAGAUCGUGACGGUACCUGCAGAGAAAGCCCCGGCUAACUACGUG
rnacentral:rRNA from 1 species